ensembl:rRNA 5S_rRNA 5S ribosomal RNA
UGUCACAGCCAUAUCACCCUGCAGCCCAAGACCAGUUACUCACUGAAGCUAAGCAGCGCUGAGCCUGGUCAGUACCUGGAUUUGAGACCACAUGGGAAAGCAAGGUUGCUGUUGGAA